CAGUAGCCACGGUAAUACGAAGGGUGCAAGCGUUAAUCGGAAUUACUGGGCGUAAAGCGUGCGUAGGCGGUGAGUUAAGUCUGCUGUGAAAUCCCCGGGCUCAACCUGGGAAUGGCAGUGGAUACUGGCUCGCUAGAGUGUGUCAGAGGAUGGUGGAAUUCCCGGUGUAGCGGUGAAAUGCGUAGAGAUCGGGAGGAACAUCAGUGGCGAAGGCGGCCAUCUGGGACAACACUGACGCUGAGGCACGAAAGCGUGGGGAGCAAACAGGAUUAGAUACCCCAGUAGUCCCUGUCUCUUAUAA
rnacentral:rRNA from 1 species